rnacentral:rRNA from 1 species
UACGGGGGGGGAGCAAGCGUUGUUCGGAUUUACUGGGCGUAAAGGGCGCGUAGGCGGUCAGCACAAGUCAGUUGUGAAAAUCUCCGAGCUUAACUCGGAACGGUCAACUGAUACUGUGCGACUAGAGUGCGGAAGGGGCAACUGGAAUUCUCGGUGUAGCGGUGAAAUGCGUAGAUAUCGAGAGGAACACCUGCGGCGAAGGCGGGUUGCUGGGCCGACACUGACGCUGAUGCGCGAAAGCCAGGGGAGC